rnacentral:rRNA from 1 species
UACGAAGGGGGCUAGCGUUGCUCGGAAUCACUGGGCGUAAAGGGCGCGUAGGCGGCGUUUUUAAGUCGGGGGUGAAAGCCUGUGGCUCAACCACAGAAUGGCCUUCGAUACUGGGACGCUUGAGUAUGGUAGAGGUUGGUGGAACUGCGAGUGUAGAGGUGAAAUUCGUAGAUAUUCGCAAGAACACCGGUGGCGAAGGCGGCCAACUGGACCAUUACUGGCGCUGAGGCGCGAAAGCGUGGGGAGCAAACAGG